rnacentral:tRNA from 1 species
GGUGCUGUGGCUCAAUUGGUAGAGCGCUAGCCUUAAGCACAGAGUGGCUAACAAACAGCACCA